rnacentral:lncRNA from 1 species
UCCGCCGUCUCUUCCUUGUGCAUAGGGCUCUCAAGAGAAUGAGGUAUCCGUUAGAAAAGUCCAAACAUAGGUUUCUCACACGUUUCACAACUUCAGCCUCCCCUCCUCCCCAACAAAGAAGAAAAGUCCUUGGGCUCACUGAAUAUAUAGAUAUGUAAUAAUUGCCAGGAGCGAUGGUGGAUGCCAAAAUUUCGAGUCUCUGCCACUGUAGAGUCUCCUAGCCUGCUGCUUCCCCGAAACUCUCGUCUCUCCCCUCUCACAUACAGUAUCCUUUGGGCUUCUUCGUCUCGACGGUUGUCCUAAGGCAUAACUUGGUCCAAGAUCUCAAGAUUCAUGGAGCGCAAUCUUUGACUUCCACUUCAACACCUACGUUUAGAAAUGGGGGAAUCUGGUUAGGGGCCAUGAAAAUUCUGAUGGAAUUAACGGUUGCAUUUCGUUCAAUGAUCUUAUUUACUUCCAAAAUAGCCUGAAGAACAAGAAGAGAAUUGGAACGAUAAACCCACUAGAGAUUCAUUCAGUAGAUAUCUUUUUGCAACUUCCCAUACGAUGCAUAACACGGAAAUAAAAUGCAUACAAUGUGUUUCAACAUUCGCAGUUCACGGUGAAGUCGUAAGCAACCUUUUGAUGUCUUGUGAUGUGAUGCAUUGUUAUCAGCACCGCCUCGUCAACCACCGCAUCCACCGCCGCCGCCAUCACCCAUCGUCAUCGUUGUCAUUGCUGCUGUGGUUGUGGCAAUCAUCACGAACAUCAUUCUCCACGUCAUCUCCUGGAAUUUCCCCCUUACUAUUGCCACCAUCACUCCCAUCGCCACCGCCGCUCGCACAAUCUUCGCAGUCCGCACAACCCCCCUCGUUGUCGUCGCAACUGCGCUUAACACAGGCAGAGAUAAGGAUGAGUAUGAGAAUACCGACGAUUGUAACAAUAACAGUUAGAUUCAUCUCUCCGUUCACCCGACCCUGAAGCCGUGGA